rnacentral:rRNA from 1 species
AACACAUGCAAGUCGAGCGGAAACGAUGAUAGCUUGCUAUCAGGCGUCGAGCGGCGGACGGGUGAGUAAUACUUAGGAAUCUACCUAGUAGUGGGGGAUAGCUCGGGGAAACUCGAAUUAAUACCGCAUACGUCCUACGGGAGAAAGCAGGGGAUCUUUGGACCUUGCGCUAUUAGAUGAGCCUAAGUCGGAUUAGCUAGAUGGUGGGGUAAAGGCCUACCAUGGCGACGAUCUGUAGCUGGUCUGAGAGGAUGAUCAGCCACACCGGGACUGAGACACGGCCCGGACUCCUACGGGAGGCAGCAGUGGGGAAUAUUGGACAAUGGGGGGAACCCUGAUCCAGCCAUGCCGCGUGUGUGAAGAAGGCCUUUUGGUUGUAAAGCACUUUAAGCAGUGAAGAAGACUCUUCGGUUAAUACCCGGGGACGAUGACAUUAGCUGCAGAAUAAGCACCGGCUAACUCUGUGCCAGCAGCCGCGGUAAUACAGAGGGUGCAAGCGUUAAUCGGAAUUACUGGGCGUAAAGCGAGCGUAGGUGGCUUGAUAAGUCAGAUGUGAAAUCCCCGGGCUUAACCUGGGAACUGCAUCUGAAACUGUUAGGCUAGAGUAGGUGAGAGGGAAGUAGAAUUUCAGGUGUAGCGGUGAAAUGCGUAGAGAUCUGAAGGAAUACCGAUGGCGAAGGCAGCUUCCUGGCAUCAUACUGACACUGAGGCUCGAAAGCGUGGGUAGCAAACAGGAUUAGAUACCCUGGUAGUCCACGCCGUAAACGAUGUCUACUAGUCGUUGGGUCCCUUGAGGACUUAGUGACGCAGCUAACGCAAUAAGUAGACCGCCUGGGGAGUACGGCCGCAAGGUUAAAAC